GCUGAAACUCUUUUGCUGAAAGCUUGAAACUGAGAAAGCAUAGAAAUCUCAGAGUGCAUGGAAAUCUCAUAGAGCUCAACGAUCAUGGAGAUCUCAUAGAGCUCGAUGAUUAUCGAUUAGGUAUGUAAUCGCACAGCUCCGAUUAGGUACGAUCUCGGUUUUGUGACUCUUCAUCUCUCUUGGCGUUGUGUUUCUCAGCUCCGAUUAGGUUGUAGCACAAAAAGUGAAGGAAGCUGAAAUCACUGAGCAUGACUCGCUUCUUCUGACGAGGAAUCUGCUCCGAAUUGCUAUAUUGAAUAUUAGUUACAUCAGAGGCCUGUAUGUCAGAGAAAUUUAGUAAGCUUCUUGUAUUUUUCAGUUAUCAUGUCUAUGACCACAAGUUUCAUCAUUUGCACUGUAUGUGUGUGCAGUUUUUGUGUUUAAUGUGUGGUGUGUGUGAUUGUUGCAGUCGGUUGACUGAGGGUGAGGUUGGUUGGGUAUGGCAGAGCUGGUUAUGUGCUGUGGGGGAUAUUUUUGGUGAGUGGGAAGAAAAAGAGGGAAAAAAAUGAAGUCUAAGUUCAUAUGGAAUGAAAAGGAAAUCUGGAGGUCUUGGCUUAAAUGACGUAGACUGGGUUUUGGAGCUUUUGGUUAUAGGUUUGCUGGGUUUGUGAUUGAGUGUUGCCAUGGGAUUAUGGGAAUGUUAGGUUCAUGGGUCCCAGCUUUGGGUUGUGGAAAUUGAGAGGGAGAUUACUGAUAGUGGAGGUUAGUGGUAAGGGGAUGAA